UACGUAGGGACCGAGCGUUGUCCGGAAUCAUUGGGCGUAAAGAGCGUGUAGGCGGCCACUUAAGUCCUGCGUGAAAUCUUGCGGCUCAACCGCAAGCGGUCGUGGGAAACUGGGUGGCUAGAGUGCGGGAGAGGAGAGUGGAAUUCCUGGUGUAGCGGUGAAAUGCGCAGAUAUCAGGAAGAACACCUAUGGCGAAGGCAGCUCUCUGGGACGGUACUGACGCUGAGACGCGAAAGCGUGGGGAGCGAACAGG
rnacentral:rRNA from 1 species